UCCUACGGGGCGCAGCAGAUCGGAAUAUUCGUCAAUGGGGGAAACCCUGAACGAGCAAUGCCGCGUGAGUGAUGAAGGUCAUAUUGAUCGUAAAACUCUGUUGUAGAGAAAGAAACCUUACCAUAGGAAAUGAUGGUAAGCUGACGGUACUCUACCAGAAAGCCCCGGCUAACUACGUGCCAGCAGCCGCGGUAAUACGUAGGGGGCAAGCGUUAUCCGGAUUUAUUGGGCGUCAAGCGUGUGUAGGCGGUUUAUUAAGUCUAAGAUCAAAGCCCGAGGCUUAACCUCGGUUCGUUUUAGAAACU
rnacentral:rRNA from 1 species